CUGUCUUCUCACAAUGUGGCCAAAGGAUGACGGACUUGGUUUAGUCACCCUGGCUUCAGGCUUGAUUCAGAAAGAAUCAGAAAUAUUGAAUUCAAAUGCAAUGCUGGAAGAAAUUGUGAAGGUUAAAUUCGUGGCAAGACCAGAGUUGUAUUUGUUGGACAACCAACUUGAAAGAAAAUUUGGAAGAUUACUCAACAUGUAUAUCAUAACUGCUGCAACAAUUGUUUAUACUCAGAGAUAGAAGGAACUAGUUAUCCCAACAGAACAAGAAUGGCUGACGAAGAUCUGCGAAUUAGCAGAGAUGGACAAACUGAGAAAUCUUUGAUCAACUUCAUGAAAGAUUGUGGCUUCUUUAUUAUCUUUCCACAACAAUGAAAGGGGCAAUUGUUAGUUGUAGGAUUUAUGAAUUAGAAGAAUGUAGAAUUGUUAUUAUA
rnacentral:lncRNA from 11 species